UACGGGGGGAGCAAGCGUUGUUCGGAUUUACUGGGCGUAAAGGGCGCGUAGGCGGCCAGCGCAAGCCAGUUGUGAAAUCUCCGGGCUUAACUCGGAACGGUCAACUGAUACUGCGCGGCUAGAGUGCAGAAGGGGCAACUGGAAUUCUCGGUGUAGCGGUGAAAUGCGUAGAUAUCGUGAGGAACACCAGAGGCGAAGGCGGCUACCUGGACAAUUGCUGACACUCAGGCACGAAAGCGUGGGGAGCAAAAGGG
rnacentral:rRNA from 1 species